rnacentral:rRNA from 1 species
UACAGAGGUGGCAAGCGUUGUUCGGAAUUACUGGGCGUAAAGGGCGCGUAGGCGGUUCGUUAAGUCCUGUGUGAAAUCCCCCGGCUCAACUGGGGAACUGCACAGGAAACUAGCGGGCUUGAGUUCGGGAGAGGGAAGCGGAAUUCCGGGGUGUAGAGGUGAAAUUCGUAGAUAUCAGGAGGAACACCGGUGGCGAAGGCGGCGU